UGACCUCACCAGAAGCAGCAUCACCAGCAAGGGUCUGCUAUAAAGCUGCUUUUGUUCAGUGACAUCAAAAGGGCUUUGGAAAAUGCUCACACAUUGCAUCAGGGUAGCUUCAAAGCAUGGUACUCUAGAUUGUUUCGGUGAGGAAUUCCAGAUUUUAAUUUCCUGGUGUCACUUUAAUGCUGGCAUACUGGCACAAAAGAAGAAGAGACCCAUUGUAGCAAGGUAAUUUUAAAUAUUUUCUCUAGUCCUAAUAGAAGAUGGUAGCAAUUGAUAAGGCACCAUAUUGAUGAAGCUCUACCAUGUUAACAACGCAGUCAUUCCAAGGCCAUUUCAUCUCACGGUCCUGAUUUCACUUUUCAGUCAAGAGUACUAUACAGGAAGAGUUACUUCCAAUUUUGAUAACCAAGUGCAAUUUCAAUAAGAGAGCUGACAAAGGCUUCGGGAAACAAGCUUGAAAAAAAAAACAUCAAAAGGAAGGAAAACAGCACAGCUGACAAGCAAUUUGUAGAGAGCAUGACAGAUUUUGUACACAUUUCAGGAAAAUCUCUCCUUUUUUUGAAAAAAGGAAAAUGUGAAUAUUAUUCACUAGAUCACUCACACAAUUAAGGUCUACCAGGUUAACACUGCACAGUAUGGGGGCUGGAGAAAAGGUGAAUUUGCUUAUAAGACUGUUGGAAAUGAUACAAACAUACGUCCCUAGAAAUCACUUCUGUCACAAAUAGGUUCUUAUAUUAUUGCAUUAUUGAAGGUGUGAUGACAUUCUCAGAAUUAUCAUUGAGUUAAAUUAUGAAUUAAUGUUAUAGUAUUAUUUUGUCUUGUCAAUUCUUAGAAUUAAAAUGCAGCCAUCUUGUCUUGGCUUGAUGCUAAACAUUGUGGAAGUUUUGUGCUAGGUCUGGAUGAAGGACAGAGUGAGCUCAAGGUGAUAUGUAGAGGCAGAUGGAAGUGUGUAAAAGGAGCAUGUGAAGUCCCUGACUCUUCCUGGUCACCUCUUUUAGUCUGUUCAACAGUUCCUUGGUAACUGAAGCAAAAGUGUGGAUUGGUUAGCAGAUUGAAUAUAUUUAAAUAUAUAGAUCCUCACUUUUAACAGUGUCCUUCCUCAUUUAAAAUUUAAUACA